rnacentral:rRNA from 1 species
UACGUAGGUGGCAAGCGUUGUCCGGAUUUACUGGGCGUAAAGAGCGCGCAGGCGGUCGUUCAAGUCGCGUGUGAAAGCCCCCGGCUCAACUGGGGAGGGUCACGCGAUACUGAUCGACUCGAAGGCAGGAGAGGGUAGUGGAAUUCCCGGUGUAGUGGUGAAAUGCGUAGAUAUCGGGAGGAACCCCAGAGGCGAAGGCGGCCCCCUGGCUCGUACCUGACGCUCAGCCACGAAAGCAUGGGGAGCGAACGGG